CGCGUAGGCGGGGAGGUAAGUCGGGUGUGAAAUCCCUCGGCCCAACCGAGGAACUGCGCCCGAGACUGCUUCUCUUGAGUCCCGGAGAGGAAGGUGGAAUUCCCGGUGUAGCGGUGAAAUGUGUAGAGAUCGGGAGGAACACCGGUGGCGAAGGCGGCCUUCUGGACGGUGACUGACGCUGAGGCGCGAAAGCGUGGGGAGCAAACG
rnacentral:rRNA from 1 species